ensembl:snRNA U6 U6 spliceosomal RNA
GUGCUUGGUUCAGCAGCACAGAUACUAAAAUUGGAACAAUACAGAGAAGGUUAGCAUGGCCCCUGUGCAAGGAUGACACGCAAAUUUGUGAAGUGUUCCAUAUUUUU